CUUCUUCGAGAUGCUGUUUAGAUGAACUGCUUGAAAUCUUGAAGUGCAAAGAAUCUUCGGGGCAGAUUGUGAUGCCGAUUUUCUACGACGUUGAUCCGUCGGAUGUAAGGAAACAGAAGGGAGAUUUUGGGAUCACAUUUAAGACAACCUGUCAAGGUGCAACAGAGGAAAAGAAGCAGAGAUGGAUAGAAGCUUUGACAUGUGUAGCAACCAUAACUGGAGAAGACUCUCGUACCUGGUUUGUUACUUGUCUGUCUCUUUUGGCUCAAUGAACCAGAAUAUUUUUUAUCUUUCUUAAUAUAUAUGUGAUUCAAUGGUGAAGUUUCUACUAAUUUAAUAAGAUUUUCGUUUUCCUUUUUGUCAGGGCUAAUGAUGCUGCGAUGCUCGAAAAGAUUUCCACAGUUAUGUUGAAACAACUGAAAAUUCAAAAGCUUAAGGAAAAGUUUAGGAUUCACGAUUUAGAUCAUAAUGGUUUCAUAACUAACCAUGAGCUUCGAUAUGUGAUGUCAACAACCGAUAAACAAGCUCGUAAGAUUGUGGACAAAGCAACCGAUAAACAAGUUCGUAAGAUCAUCAAGGCGGCUGAUGUUGAUAAUGAUGGUCAGAUCAGCUUUGAUGAGUUCGUCAAAUUCAUCGAAAACGACGAAAAGUGAGGAAUUCUGAACUCUUUAUAAUUAUAUGCUUUAAAACUGAAGAACAAAAAUUUUGAUGCCUUUACAGGGAAAUUUCACCAUGAUUUAGAACAUUUUUGUCAUUCGAUAGUGAAGUUUCCAUAAUUUAAUAACGUACUGUUUUUUUUGUGUGUCAGUAUUAAUAUAGAAGAUGAGGUAUGGUGGAAAAGUUUGCCACAGAAGCAGUGUCAUGGAAGGAAAAGAAAGAUAUUUUUCGAAUUUUUUGGCCGUUCGAUGUAAACCAGAAUGGUUUCAUAAUUGCAGCGGACUAUCAAAAAUAUAAGUUGAAAAUUAUUUGGCAAAAAGAAACCGAUGAGGAUGCUCGUUAUUUCAAAACAUUUUAUGUUGAUUGUGAUGGUUGGGUCAGCUAUGACGAAUUCGUCAAACUGACGAGGUGAUGCAGUGCAUUUUUAUCUUAGUUGGCAGGAUACAUUGUGGGUGUUUGAUAUGUUCUUCAAUUCUUGAAUUGGUUUUCUAUUUUUCUUUUUAUCCUAAAAAGUGUUAUUCUUUUUCUUUUGUUAGAGUUUCUUUAUAGCUUCAAGUGAUGUUAGAAGUUCAAGUUAUAUAAGAAACCAUGAAUCCUUGUUUUCACAUUUUUUGUUUUAUAAAAACCUAAUAAAAACCCAAAAGAGAAAAAUCAAACUUCACAUAAGAAUGUGUAACCAAUCCUAUUUUUAACGAUAAUGUUGCGUUAUCUAUUGGAUUUUAAUUCGCAUCUUUUAACCCAAAAAGUGAUAAUAAAUAAUAAGAUGAGACAAUGUGUGGAAUAUCCCCAAUUAAGGUCCAAAUUUGCUGAAUGCCCAUAAUUAUAGAUAACCCAAAAAUGAGUAAUUUUUUUGACACUGUGCAGACGAAAAUGCCCUUAUACUUUGUCGAAAACAAGUAACUCUAGAUCUAGCAGCUAAAUAUUUACAUAGCAUGUAACAAUCUACAUACCAACUAACAUAUCCGCUAAUAAUUUCAGUAUCAUCUAACAAUCUAUGUAUCAAACAAAUGUAUCGACUAACAAAUCAUAUAUCAGUUAAUGAAACUAUUAACAAUUAAUUAGUUAUCUAUUAAAUAGCUCCAAAUCUAUUUGUAACAGCUAACACUUCAUGUAUACUUAAAAAUGGAUUUUUUUUUCUUUUGUUUAGAAAUAGAUAACUGAUUAAAAAUUAGUUUAUCAUUUUUUAAAAAAAAUAUUGAUUGGAUGAAAAUUAAUUUUUGGAAAAACAAAAACAAAAAAAAAUGUUCCAAAAAACGGGAAAUAUCAAUUAAUCUCUAAUAGGCGCACGAAACGGGUAAUUAGGCUUUUGUGUAACAAAAGAAAAAGGCCUUUCAAAAUAGUUGUUUAUGUUUGGUUAACUAAUGUAAUUUUUUUAGGAUAUAGCGAUAUUUCAUAAGCUAAUUUUAUGUGAAUAUAUUAGUUAUUUGGAAUGAUUUACAAAUGACAAAUAUAUUUUAUCAUUUUGUAAACAGGAUAUACUGAUCGUUUGAAUAUUAAUUAGUUAUUUGGUGGACGUCUGCAAUGUUAGCUUCUUCCCCACCUUUCUCAGAUUGGCGUUGCUUGUAGAAUGGGGUUUUAUUGCCGGUCUUGCUGCCAUAGGAAGUGGAGUCAUCUCGGUUUUAAGAUGUUUUGGAUUUCACUUGGCUUCAAGAGGAGAAAAUACGGCUUCGGAGUGAUGUUCCCCCUUCCUCUUCACCGCUUAGGGGACAAGUCCGGUAGAGAAAGUUGAGAGCUAUUAAGCUCCCAUGGUUUUGUUGUUCCCGUCUUGUAUUGGACCUUAGGUUCAUACCGGUGUCCCAGCUUGGACCUUGAGAACAGUCUUUAAACGGUCUUUUCUGCUACUUCAGAGGAAUGAUGUAUAUUCAGACAGCUGGAGGAAAUCACUUCUUGUUUGUUUUGUCUUCUUCAUUCACGUGAUUUUGAGUCUCCUUGUUUGCCUGUUUCUGUACAAUCUCUCAUCCGGGUCUUCCAAGUUUGUAUCGCUAUCUCUAGUCAUGUUCGUUUGGUCGUUCCCAAGCUGAAUGGAUAAAUUAUAGAUUAUCUUUGUUUCCAUGUAUUUUACUUUUUUUUCUUUCAUGGAACCAAUUUUAAAAAUCCUAUAUUUUGUAAACCUCAAAUUUUGUUUCAUAAAACGAUAUUUACAUUCUUAACAAAGAAAACACGGAAUAUGUACGACCAAUUGAAUAAAAAAUUCAGUUUAGUUGUUAAACCAAAUGAAAAGUCUAUACGGUUUAGCACCUUGAUUAAAAUCUUUCUAGUUCGUCUUCUUCCUAUAUUUUUUCAGCUAUAAUUUCAUUUCCAGUGGCUUCUUUAUGAAUUUUAAGACUUUUUUUGGUAGACGAAUUUUUAAAAUAUCUAUAUUAUUAAAACAGAAAUACACUUAUAAAUCAAUACUAUUAAAACAAAAUCACAAAAGUUGCAUCCAACUUAUUUCUAGGUAGAAUUUUUUUAAAUAUUAUAUAAUAUAUUUAAUACAACUACAAUCUAAAUAUUAAAAACAACUUGCCCUAUCAUUUAGCAUAUGAUAAGAUUUUAAUUAAAGGAAGAGAUCAUUCAAGGCUCAUUUAUAUCAGAUACAUUACAUUGAUCUUAUUUAUAGAAAACAAAUCACGGUGAUCUUAUUUAUAAGAACAAACAUUAAUGUCUCUAGAUCUUAACUUUUUAACCAAAAAAAUAUUUUAAUUAGGUUGUUAACAUAUCUUAAUUUUUUUCGAAAAAAAUCGUAGAUUUAAGUUUUAGAUAUUCACAAUAGUAACAAACAAAUAGUUUAGAAUAUAUCUAAUACGAUCUGGCAUCUUUAAACAUAUUCCUCAUAAAUAUUUAUAACAAAAUUAAACUAAUACUGAUAUAUAAAUAAAUUUUGGUUUUCUCUAAUAUAGUUUUGUUCAUUAGUUUGAAUAGUAAAAAUUUCACUAAAGACUAAAAUAAUAAUUCAUUUGAUUUUAUGUAAUAUUUAAGAGACUAUAAAAUUUCAAUCAGAAUUUUUAGUAUAUUAUCAGAUUUUUUUGAGUCUUUUACUGGGCCAACCUGUUUGUGUCACGGGUUAAUGACUGUUUUUAAGAUUUUUACCAGGUUUCAUUUGAUUUUUAACUAAUAGAUUUUUCAUUAAACUCGAACUGGAUUAUAUAUGGAUUUAUAUAAUCCAUGGAUUUACCGUCUUAACCGCUGAACCGGAUCAGAUAUAAAAACACUGAAUAAAACCAAAGAUACACAUAUGUACUUUUUUUAUAGCCUGAAUAAAUAGAUGAUAAUUCAAAAUAGUAAUUAAUAUUAACUAAUAUUUUUUAUCCAACAAUCAAAUAUGCGCUUUUAAAAUACGGAUCAAAAUCUAGUUAUAUUUACAUUCAAAAAUAUGUCUACCAUUUCAUGUCCAUAAAUUACCAUGAAAACUGUAUUCACAUAUGAAAUUACCAUAAAUUCACAAAUCACAAGAUUAAGCAUAAUUCAUAAUUUAUUGAACUUAAUCUUUCAAUACAAUAGUUUCACAACAAUCACUUUUCCAUCAUAAUUUCUUUUUGUCUAAGUUUUCUCGUCCACAAUUUUUCGUCAACUUUUUUGUCUACGAUUUUGUUGACCAUACAUUUUCUGUAUAUGUUAAAUAUAUAAAUUAUACCAAAAUGAAUAAUAAAAUUUCAUAUCCUGAAUAUUUACCAAUAAAAACAAACCAGUGGUCCUCGGCGGCUAUAAGAAAACAAACUCUUAUGAGUCUUUGAGUUUUUAACAAUUCCACCUAGGUCUGGGCAUUUCGGGUAUCGGUUCGGUUCAGGUAUUUCGGGUUUCGGGUAGUUCGGAUGGGGUGCUAGAAGAUCCAUUUAAUACUUGACUUAUUUUCUGUUCGGUUUGGUUCAGAUAGUUUUGGGUUCGAUUCGGUUUGGAUAAUAAAUGUAGGAAUCAGAAAAUACCCGGAAAAAAUCUGGUUCUCAUUUGGAUCGGUUCAAGUUCGGAUAGUUCGGGUAAUUCAGAUAAUUUGGAUAAAAUAUCGGUUAUUUAGGGUAAAAUAUCAAAUACUUAGGAUGAUUUAGAUAAAAAAAAUUGGAUAUUUCGGAUUACUUUGGAUAUUUUGGAUAAAACUAUCCGAGUAGUUUCAGAUAUUUUCGGGUAGUUUCGGAUAUUUUGGGUAGUUCGGAUACUUUUUUUGGAGCAAAAGUUCGGAUACUUUAUAAUAAUUUAUUUAUUCUCAACUAUUUUCAGAUAAUUUUAAUAGAAUUUUAAAUUAAAAAUAUAUAUUUAGUUAUGUUAUAUGUAUAUAUACUUAAUAUUUUUUAUAUUCGGGUACCCGUUCGAUUCUCGGUUCGGUUCCGGUUCGGUUUAGUUAUUUCAAAUAUAAAAAUAUAGGAACCGUUUGGAUAUUUGAGGGUAUUGGUCCGGUUCGGUUUAGUUAUUUCAAAUAUAAAAAUAUAGGAACCGUUUGGAUAUUUGAGGAUAUUAGUCCGGUUCCGGUUUCGGGUAUUUCGGUUCGGUUCCGAUUCGGUUCUUCGGUUCCGGUUAUUUUGCCUAGGCCUACGUACACCAGAAACAAAACUCUUAUGAGUCUUUAUGAGUUUUUUUAACAUUUCACCCAAAAAAAAACUUAUUGAGUCGCCGAGGAAUCGUGGUUUCCAGUACGGUCUCAUUCAAUAAUCCUUUUGACAUUCGCUCUUCUCUUCUAACCUCAAACAAUUCACGUUCAUAAGUUUGUAGAGAUACAACUAAAUGAACAAAAAAAAAAAAUGUGAACUUAGUUUGUUAUGAUAUAUUUUGGAAAAUACACUUGAUAUACAAGAACAUAAAAUGGAGAUCGAUCGAUCUCAGAUAUGUUUUCCUUUGAGACAUUUAAGAUUGUAACUAUUAGUCAGAAUCUUUAACAAGUGUACCGACAAAAUAUCUAUAUAAAAACCAGUUGUCAGUUUACAGACCGAGUUCAAUAGGGAUCGCACGAGGUAGGAUUCCAAAACAGGAAUUUUACCUCUUAGAACCAAAACUGUAACUUUAUUUAAUUAUGCUUAGUUUUAAUUUUUACAAACUUUUACGAGUCCCCGACGACUUCCUAGAAAUAAGCCAGUAGUUUCCAGUACAGUCUCAUUUCUUUGACAUUUCCUCUUCUCUUUACGUUUUUUCGCUUAUAUAUAUGAACAAGGGACUUGUUGUUUCAUCAACCACUGUUAUACUUUCUUCAAACUCUCUUUUGCUCUAUCUCUGUCAUGGCGGCUUCUUCUUCCUUGCCUCACGUUGUCUUCCCGAGCUUCCAUGGGCCAGAUGUUCGUAAAGGAAUCCUUAGUCAUUUACACAUUGUCUUUGAAAGGAAAAAAAUCACUAUGUUCAAGGAUCAGGAGAUGGAGAGAUGCCAGCAGAUUGGAUCUAAACUCAUACAAGCCAUUAGAGAAGCAAAGGCUUCCCUCGUUUUGAUCUCGAAGAAUUAUGCUUCUUCGAGAUGCUGUUUAGAUGAACUGCUUGAAAUCUUGAAGUGCAAAGAAUCUUCGGGGCAGAUUGUGAUGCCGAUUUUCUACGACGUUGAUCCGUCGGAUGUAAGGAAACAGAAGGGAGAUUUUGGGAUCACAUUUAAGACAACCUGUCAAGGUGCAACAGAGGAAAAGAAGCAGAGAUGGAUAGAAGCUUUGACAUGUGUAGCAACCAUAACUGGAGAAGACUCUCGUACCUG
rnacentral:lncRNA from 1 species